rnacentral:lncRNA from 1 species
UAUAUGAUUAGGGAAGCAUUAUCUUCCUCCACAAAUCACAAAUCUAUCUGGAGUAAUAAUUUAUAAGGAAACCAUGAUUCCUUCUUUAAGUUCUUGUGCUUUUUAAGCUUCAUGUGAUCAUUUUAUUGAAAGAUAGAUUGCUUGAGAUAUUCAGAUAUCUAACUAAAUGGUUCACCCACCGCACCUUGAACUCCUCAUCACUCAUCUCACAAAGUUUACUCUCAAAACUUCUUUGAUAAAAACUCCACUCCCGUAUCUAUUGUAAGAGUAUGGAAAGUGUAUAAUCAUUAACGUCUAUCAACGGCUAUAUCGUCUGUAAUUAGUCUAUUGUAUCUCCUAGAAUAUUGCCUUGCCUUUCUUGUAAUCAUCUCUGUACAUAUAAGAACAGAGCUCCUUACUCAAUUAUAUUCAUUCAAUUCCAAUACUCAAUAUGGUAUCAGAGCCCUAUAGGUGAAAACCU